GACGAACCGAGCGAACGUUGUUCGGAAUCACUGGGCUUAAAGGGCGCGUAGGCGGGCUGUCAAGUCUGGGGUGAAAUCCCACGGCUCAACCGUGGAACUGCCUCAGAUACUGACGGUCUCGAGGGGGAUAGGGGCGAGCGGAACUGUGAGUGGAGCGGUGAAAUGCGUUGAUAUUCACAGGAACUCCGGUGGCGAAGGCGGCUCGCUGGAUCUCUUCCGACGCUGAGGCGCGAAAGCUAGGGGAGCAAACGGG
rnacentral:rRNA from 1 species